rnacentral:lncRNA from 1 species
CCAGAAUUUGGUUGUCACAUGUACAAACCUCUAAAUACAGAAUUCGAAUAAAAAUAUACAAGUCUCAGAGUAUAGUUCUCGAAUAGAACAAAACUGAAAGUAAAGAUAACUCAAGGGCACGUCUGGAAUGAACCGCUACCUCUCGAGUAUGUCCCGAAGCUCAAUCUGCUAAAGAAAAUACUAAGCCGAAUCUGAGAGAGCUGUCAACCUACACAAUUGUGUAGAAGCAAGGGUGAGUACCGAAAACCACAGGUACUCGCAAGUAACUCUAAACUAAGCAAAACUAGCAGCUACAAACAACUCCUUUCAAUCCCAACCGAACCACCGAAACUUCAUUCUAACAGCGAACCAACAACCUAUACUACACAAUUCAUAAUCAACAUAUAUAUCCAACAGUGUCUCAAAAUCAACCUCAUAUCCUCAUAUAAGAGCAAAUAGAUCAUAUAUCACAUGAAGAGGGGCAAAUAGGUAAAAUCCACACACCACAGACAAAGAUGAAGUGAAAUGCGAUGCAAAUGCAAUAAUGAUGUCAUGUAGUCGUGAUGAAUGUCUGUCCUACGAUACACAUCUGUUGACGUAAUCAGUCCGCGCUGAAUACUCAAAUCAGAACCCAUGGGGGCCACACAUGGACCAUGUAUCACCGCCGGAACCAGAUCCCAUCGGCAUCCAAAUCGCUAGACGGAGCUAGUCCAUCUCAUAUAUCUCUAGCCAUAGCUAGUCUCAACUGUGUCUCAUAUCCAUCCAUCCUCAUAUCAGUGUCUCAGAACUCAUGCAACAGAUAGUUCACACAUGGGAUGAAUAAUGAAUAUGCACAUGUCAUCAAUCACAAUCAUAUCACGAUCACAUCAUAGUAUUACACAUCAUCUGUCUCAACAUCAAUGUCUGUAUCAAUCAUAGCCUACUCAUGCUCUUCUAUCCCCUCAAUAUGAGUUAUCACAUGACUUAUUCAACAAAUUCAAGUCACAUAUAACACAUUUAGCUCGUUUUAUUUCCCCAUCUUUCAUUUACAACAAUUCCAAUCAACAAAUAAAACCCAUCCUCAAUCCCCAUUACUCCCCAACACAAUUAGGAAAGUAGUCAUGCGUAGUCUAAGAGUUUUACAAAGUUUGGAAGCCACUUGCCUUAAAAUGAACUCCAAAAGUUACUUGACUUGAGCCUUUCCUUUCCGAGUAGAAUCCGGAUCACGAUAAUCUAUUCAAACAAUUAUUCACAAUCACAAUUCGAGUCCAAUGACACCAAAAUCAAGAAAUUUAGGGAAAAAGGGCAAAACGGUCCAAAAGUCUCAUACCGGAAAACGAUACCCAAAUCUGGAAAUUUUGAUGUAAAAUGAUCCUUAAAGUAUUUGGAAGCUAAUGGUGAAAACCAAUUUGAAAACGGAGUUGAAAUCAAUUCACAAACUCAAUUUGAAG